rnacentral:rRNA from 1 species
UACGUAGGGUGCAAGCGUUGUCCGGAAUUAUUGGGCGUAAAGAGCUCGUAGGCGGUCUGUCGCGUCUGCUGUGAAAACUCAGGGCUUAACCCUGAGCUUGCAGUGGGUACGGGCAGACUAGAGUGCGGUAGGGGAGACUGGAAUUCCUGGUGUAGCGGUGAAAUGCGCAGAUAUCAGGAGGAACACCGGUGGCGAAGGCGGGUCUCUGGGCCGUAACUGACGCUGGAGGAGCGAAAGC